GUGAGGAAUAUUGGUCAAUGGGCGAGAGCCUGAACCAGCCAAGUAGCGUGAAGGAUGACUGCCCUAUGGGUUGUAAACUUCUUUUAUGGGAGGAUAAAGUGCCGUACGCGUACGGUAUUGCAGGUAUCCCAUGAAUAAGCAUCGGCUAAUUCCGUGCCAGCAGCCGCGGUAAUACGGAAGAUGCGAGCGUUAUCCGGAUUUAUUGGGUUUAAAGGGAGCGUAGGCGGGCUUUUAAGUCUGCGGUAAAAUGGCCGUGCUCAACGCGGUCCUGCCGUGGAAACUGGGAGUCUUGAAUGUGCACAAGGAAGGUGGAAUUCGUGGUGUAGCGGUGAAAUGCUUAGAUAUCACGAAGAACUCCGAUUGCGAAGGCAGCCUUCUGGGGCAUGAUUGACGCUGAGGCUCGAAAGCGCGGGAAUCAAACAGG
rnacentral:rRNA from 1 species